ACGGGGGGUGCAAGCGUUGUUCGGAAUCAUUGGGCGUAAAGAGCGUGUAGGCGGCUUGGUAAGUCAGAUGUGAAAGCCCUGGGCUCAACCCGGGAAGUGCAUCUGAGACUGGUUCUCUUGAGUAGGGGAGAGGAGAGCGGAAUUCCAGGUGUAGCGGUGAAAUGCGUAGAUAUCAGGAAGAACACCAGUGGCGAAGGCGGCUCUCUGGCCUAGAACUGACGCUGAAGCGCGAAAGCGUGGGGAGCGAACAG
rnacentral:rRNA from 1 species